rnacentral:rRNA from 1 species
UACGUAGGGGCAAGCGUUGUCCGGAAUUAUUGGGCGUAAAGAGCGUGUAGGCGGCCAGAUAAGUCCGCUGUGAAAUCUCGAGGCUCAACUUCGAGCUGUCGGUGGAAACUAUCUGGCUAGAGUCCGGAAGAGGGAAUGGAAUUCCUGGUGUAGCGGUGAAAUGCGCAGAUAUCAGGAAGAACACCCGUGGCGAAGGCGGUUCUCUGGGACGGUACUGACGCUGAGACGCGAAAAGCGUGGGGGAGCGAACAGG